rnacentral:rRNA from 1 species
GAUGAACGCUGGCGGCGUGCCUAAUACAUGCAAGUCGAGCGAACAGACGAGGAGCUUGCUCCUCUGACGUUAGCGGCGGACGGGUGAGUAACACGUAGGUAACCUACCUAUAAGACUGGGAUAACUUCGGGAAACCGGAGCUAAUACCGGAUAAUAUUUUGAACCGCAUGGUUCGAUAGUGAAAGAUGGUUUUGCUAUCACUUAUAGAUGGACCUGCGCCGUAUUAGCUAGUUGGUAAGGUAACGGCUUACCAAGGCAACGAUACGUAGCCGACCUGAGAGGGUGAUCGGCCACACUGGAACUGAGACACGGUCCAGACUCCUACGGGAGGCAGCAGUAGGGAAUCUUCCGCAAUGGGCGAAAGCCUGACGGAGCAACGCCGCGUGAGUGAUGAAGGUCUUCGGAUCGUAAAACUCUGUUAUUAGGGAAGAACAAACGUGUAAGUAACUGUGCACGUCUUGACGGUACCUAAUCAGAAAGCCACGGCUAACUACGUG